UCUGGCGACGGCAGCUGUAUUAGCUAACUUCUUAAAAGCUUUAUAUUUUAGAAGGUGGAAGACCUGGAUGCUUCAUACUUUUUAUUUAGAUGCUUCAUGUUACAAGUUUCCUUCAGUCACAUGUCUAAUGUCCUUGACCUCAUUUUCAUGGUUCAGUGACUACUUGAAAAAAGAUUAAGAUUUUUUGUAAUGUGAAAUUCUCUCUUAUCAUAAGUAAAAGCCUUAGGAUAACCAUGUUUGGUAUGUGCGUAGCUUGCAAGGUUCUCAUGCCCAUCAGACAGUGUUCACUUGACCUUGACCAUUUCAGGGAUCAGUGAAUAAGGUUAAGUUUUGGUGGUCAAAUCCACAUCUCAGAUACUAUAAGCAAUAGGUCGAGUUUAUUCGGUGUAUGGAAGCACUGUAAGGUGUACAUGUCCAACUGGUAGGUGUCAUCUGACCUUGACCUCAUUUUCAUGGUUCAGUGGUAAUAGUUCAGUUUUUGUGUUUUGGUCUUUUUUUCUUAUGCUGUAUGCAAUAGGUCUACUAUAUUUGGUGUAUGGUAUGAUUGUAAGGUGUACAUGUCUAGCUGGCAGGCAUCAUCUGACCUUGACCUCAUUUUCAUGGUUCAGUGGUCAAAGUUAAGUUUUUGAGUUGUUUUUUUUUCUAAUACUAUAUGCAAUAGGUCAAUUAUGUUUGGUGUAUGGAAAUAUUUUAUGAUCUUUAUAUCAGUUGCGCAGGUUUUAUUUGACUUUGACCUAAUUUUCACAGUUCAUUGCUCAGUGUUAAAGUUUGUGUUUUGUUCUUUUUUUUCAAACUACAUGUAUAAGCAAUAAGUCAGCUAUAUUUAUUGUAUGGAAAAACUGUUAGCUGUACAUGUCUACCUGGCAUGGUUCAUCUGACCUUGACCUCAUUUUCAUGGUUCAUUGGUUAAUGUUAAGUUUAUGUGACAGUUGAAAUACAGCUUUAUCUUUAGGACUAUCAACAUAAUAUCAAUG
rnacentral:lncRNA from 1 species